UGAACGCUAGCGGCAGGCUUAACACAUGCAAGUCGAGGGGUAACAGGGAUUGCUUGCAAUCCGCUGACGACCGGCGCACGGGUGCGUAACGCGUAUGCAACCUACCUUUUACAAGGGGAUAGCCCAGAGAAAUUUGGAAUAAUACCCUAUACGAUCAUUAAUUGGCAUCAAUUAAUGAAGAAAACUCCGGUGGUAAAAGAUGGGCAUGCGUCCUAUUAGUUAGUUGGUAAGGUAACGGCUUACCAAGACUUCGAUAGGUAGGGGUCCUGAGAGGGAGAUCCCCCACACUGGUACUGAGACACGGACCAGACUCCUACGGGAGGCAGCAGUGAGGAAUAUUGGACAAUGGAGGCAACUCUGAUCCAGCCAUGCCGCGUGCAGGAAGACGGCCCUACGGGUUGUAAACUGCUUUUAUACAGGAAGAACUAUAUCUACGUGUAGAUAUUUGACGGUACUGUACGAAUAAGGAUCGG
rnacentral:rRNA from 1 species